UUAGUAAAACGUCCUGAGCGUCCCUGAUCACUGAGAGGCUGAGCAAAGACUCUGACUGUGUGGUCCACAGCUGACAUCCUGGUCUACAUCAACGACACCUGCGUGCUGGGCCGCUCCCAUAAGGAGGUGGUGGAGAUGCUGAAGUCGGUGCCAAUGGGUCAGAGCGUGGACGUGGUCCUGAGGAGAGGGUACCCGAUGCUGUACAACCCGGACGGCUGCCCCAAACAGAGCCUGGAGACGCCACAGACGCCCAGUGAGCCUGCUACCUGGAACCACGGCCAGACACACCUCACAUACAGUCGCACGCUGGAUGCCAACGGCAGCACGCCAGGUCAGGGUGACCAUGAAAUGACAUCACACAGCACCGAGCAUAGUUUGAAUCAUUUUCUCUCCAAUCCAGGUCUGGCACAAACUCCGUCCUCUUAUGCUGCUCAGCCAAUCACCAACGGCCUGACAGGCCCGCCCACCCCCACAUCCUCUGACCCCCCUCUGGGUCCACCGCCCCCUCCAGUAAGGACACCACCUAAUCACAGUGACUCUGAUGGUGGCCUGUCCAGUGCUGGAACUCGAAGGUCAGUGUUAGCAUUAGCAUCAUUAGCAUGUGAGUCCAAUUCUGGACCACAAGCCCCCUUAACCCGACCCAAGGGUCUGAGGUGCUGAACUUUCUCCUUCUCUUCCAGGUCCUCUCUGAUUCGCUACAACAGCAGCACUCUCCCUGCCCUCUCCUCCUCCUCCCUCCUCCAACAUCAGAGCUCCAAGUCCUCAGAGAGUGACCUGUCCACAUCUACGCUGCCCGUCUCCUCCGCCACGCUCCCCAUCUCCCACAAUGUGUCCAAACUGCCCCUCUCUCAGCCUGAGACGGGCCUCAUUCAAAACUCCACCAGCGCCACCUCCACCAACAACACCCCGUCCUCCACACCUCCUGGAGGUCCUGUGCAGCGUCCGCCGAUGCCCCAGACCUCCCUUGCCCUGACGCCACCCAGAGACAUUCCACCCUGCGGUUUCAACGGCUGCCCGGCCAGUCACCAAGUGUCCUCCCCGGUGUCCCGUGGUAACCCAGGACUGGUGCUCCCUCUUGGCUCACCCGGAACAGCCUCUGGAGGGGAGCUUGUGCCGGUGGCCCUUGGACAAAGCGAGGGUGGGGGGUUGGGGUUCAGCGUGACAGCGGGAGGACAAGGAGGUCAACUGGCUGUAGUGAGGCGGGUUUGGGACCGCAGACAGUGCCCCUCACUGCAGGCAGGAGACGCCAUUGUGAAGAUCAACGGAGCAGAUGUCCAGAGCCUCAGCCUGUCCCAGGUAAAAUGUCCAGCAGCCAAUCAGGGCCCUCCUUUCAUGGACAACCUGCAGAAAUGAUAAACAGGUGUGUGUCAUUGUUCAGGUGCAGAGAGUCCUGCAGGAACAUACCAAACAGGCUGAGGUGGUCCUGCUGGUCUACAGAGGAGGUAAACCCUGCCGUGUAGCUGCAUGUCAGGUUCAGCCCGUCUGAUCAGCUUACAGACAGACAGACGUGACAACCAAUCGCAACACCUCAUCAGGAAGGAGGAGCC
ensembl:lncRNA